rnacentral:lncRNA from 1 species
AGCAGAAGGAUGGUCCUUUUGCAGGCAAGAUUGGCACCCAGCUUGUGUUGCCAUCGAGGACGAACCUCUACGAUAUGCAGCGCUUGAAACUUUGCGGUGACCUCGGCCAGGUGCUGUUUACGCCAUUCAACCUGAAAGAUGAACUGAGCAUUGCCAAA